AAAAAAGCGGAGGAAAAGAAACUAACAAGGAUUCCCCUAGUAACGGCGAGUGAAGCGGGAAGAGCUCAAAUUUGAAAGCUGGCACCUUCGGUGUCCGCGUUGUAAUCUCGAGAAGUGUUUUCCGUGCUGGACCAUGUACAAGUUCCUUGGAAUAGGACGUCAUAGAGGGUGAAAAUCCCGUACUUGACAUGGACGCCCAGUGCUUUGUGAUACACUCUCCACGAGUCGAGUUGUUUGGGAAUGCAGCUCAAAAUGGGUGGUAAAUUCCAUCUAAAGCUAAAUAUUGGGGAGAGACCGAUAGCGAACAAGUACCGUGAGGGAAAGAUGAAAAGCACUUUGGAAAGAGAGUUAAACAGUACGUGAAAUUGUCGAAAGGGAAGCGCUUGAAGUUAGACAUGCUUGCCGGGAUUCAGCCUUGCUUUUGCUUGGUGCAUUUCCCGGUGUGCAGGCCAGCAUCAGUUUUGUUUGCCGGAUAAGGGUGAGAGGAAUGUGGCCCCUCGGGGUGUUAUAGCCUCUCACUGGAUACGGCGGAUGGGACUGAGGACCGCAGUGUGCCUUUAUGGCGGGCCUUCGGGCACCUUCACACUUAGGAUGCUGGCGUAAUGGCUUUAAGCGACCCGUCUUGAAACACGGACCCA
rnacentral:rRNA from 1 species